GCCAAACAGCUAGCCCACUAAACUAACAUCAUCACAAAUUCAUAACUACACCCUAACUUACUAAAACCAACCAACAAACCAUUUUCCCCUUUUAGUAUGGGAGACAGAAAAAAGACUAAGAGCAAUAGAGAAAGUACCGCAAGGGAACGCUGAAAAAGAAAUGAAACAAACCAGUUAAGCAAAAAAAAGCAGAGACCCAACU
rnacentral:rRNA from 1 species